GUAAGCAGAGGUGCUGGCGCCCCCGAGUGGGUGUGGUCACGUUGCCCAGCAAUGGGCGGUGAUUGGCCCUGGGUGGUGCAUUCGCAGCUCGUGCGUCACGACGCCGCCAGCUGAUCGGAGACUGGAGCCGGUGUGUGCUGGGCGCUGAGAAGAGACAGAGCGGUCGCCCGUGCGGAGAGGUCGCAGUGAUUUUGCUCCUCUAUCCUCAGCAACCCCCGCACCCAGCAUCAGGAACCUGUGCCUCCCACACCCUCACCUGGCUGAGCCGCAGUAGUUCUUCAGUGGCAAGCUUUAUGUCCUGACCCAGCUAAAGCUGCCAGUUGAAGAACUGUUGCCCUCUGCCCCUGGCUUCGAGGAGGAAGAGGAGGAGCAGCUUCAUUGCCUAUCAUCUGGAAGGAUAGUGAGACUCUGCUCAAUACUGUGCAGGCAAGAAAUUGUCUCCUGCAGCCAUCAGGGGAGAUGGGUUAUAUGAUAUGAGUCCCUUCUGCUGCCUCUAGCUCCUGAUUCAUUCUCACGUAUGGGCUUGGUCUCUGAUUGUGGUUCACCUUUGGCCCAGUCUUCCUAACAGAAGAUGGGUUCAGGAGGCACAGGAAGCUGUCUGUUGUAUUUGGCAGGAGGAGGAGAAGUUCUAGCCCCAUUUAUGAGAAACUGAAAGCCAUAGGGGAGACUAGAUCAUCUAAUCUAGCCCCACUGCAGUCUUAAGAUGAGGGGUAGGAUGUGUAAGGGACCGUAGCAGACGGGGUAGGGAGGCUGAGCCUGCUCACACACUGCAACAAAGAUUGUCCUGUCCCUCGACCUCGCUUGCUUUCUUUCCUCCUCACUUCACUGGCCAGUGUGUCCCUCCGGCACUGGGUAUAUGGCUCUGCUGCCUUCAUCCAACACGGAGCCUCAGAGCUGAGGAAGGGCAGCCUGGAAACAACAGAGGCAGGCAGAAAACAGUGGAGGACCUGGCCUGGUACCACAAGAGCCUAUCCGGACAUUGGUCAGAGGGGCACACAGAUGCCUGGAGAGCACCAGGAAAGAGAACAGCCAGCCAGUCUCAGUGAAAGACACUUCCAGCCAUCUCCUCUCAGGACCUGCCUCCCUGGGAGACGAAGGGCCUCCGGGAAGUAUGGUCCCAUCUCUUCUCUACACUGCAGUUUCUAUAUAAACAGCCUCAAGGAGCAUGAGUCACCUCUGAAAGGAAAUACAUAGCAAAUUCAAAAGGAGAUUCAAAUGUGUAACACCAUGGGAAAACAUAUUUAUGCCUGGGGCUGUAGCUCAGUUGGUAGAAGGUUUGCUUAACAUGCACCAAGCCCUGGUUCUGUCUUCUGCAUUGCAUAAAGCUGGACAUGAUGGCCCAGGCCUGCAAUCCCGGCACUCUGGAGGUGGUGGUAAGGUCAUCCUCUGCUAUACAAUGAGUUCUGAGUCAGCCUGGAUUACAUGAGACUGUCUCAGCAUUGGUUAGUAAUUCAAAGAAGGCAGAUAUCACUGAAAUAAUGUUCCCUGGUCAUAAUACAACAAGUAAAUGAAAGCCAAAAGAAGGCUCCUAGGCUUUGUAUGUAGCAGUAUCAGCCAUUGUAAGAGAUGCCUUUUGACCUAGUAGUUUUCUGUUUUAGAAAUGUAUCUUAAAGUAAGGAUUUGGUUAUAAGAUGUUCAUCUCAGGGUUGUAAUAGAGAAAAAUUGAAAGCAACUGUUUGUUUGGAAGUCCAUUCCUUUUCUGCUGUCAUGAAAAUUUAUAGCUGGGGAUUGCUUAAGUAAAUUAUAUUCAUCUGAUGGUGGUGUACUACUCGGCCAUCCAAAGUCUUAUAGAAGAAAAACUGAGUGGAAAUAUAAAUAUUGAAUAGUAAAACAAUUAUAAAAAGUAUGAAUUUGUGACUGAUUGCUUUUAAAAUAUGGGUGCAUACUUGUAAUACAUUUUUUUUAGAAAAACACUGAAAGUAGAUUCAAAAUGUUAAGAGUGGUUGUUUUUGUAUGGUGGCAUAGUACAAUUGUGAAUUUUCCCUUGUUUUUUCUGUCUCUCUAAGUUUUUAAUAUUAAUUAUGUAUUUCCUUCAUAUGUUAAAUAAAAUACAAAAGACAAGUGUUUCAAAA